UCCCUGUGGCCUGCUGCCAAGUAUCUGACCCAGCCAGUGGAUGCGGCCAGGCAGCCCUAGAUUGACUCUAUUAAAAACUCCCGUAAGCCUUGCUGCGUCUGCCUCAGCAUGGCGGGAGGGAGGGACACCUUGGCUGUGGGUCUGUUCCCUCUCCUGUGAUUGCUGACCAGGAUCUCCCCGGGCUUGCCUUCCCUUCAGCCGCCCAGCGUGGUCUCACCAUCACCAUGCAGUAGACUCACUUGGGAGGCCUUUAGAAGUGCUGAUGCCAGGACCAAUUCAGUGGGAGCUUCUGGGGCUGGGAGGAGCAGCGUCCCAGUGAGAAGAGAGAAGGCUGCUCUGACAAAUCUGAACAUCUAGCUAUCUUCAGCCCUGCUGAGCUUGCGUGCGUUCUCCUAAACCUUGACAUCCCCCCACCCCCACCCAGGAUUCUCUGGAAAAUCAGAAUGCAGAGUUUUCAAUUAGAAAAGUCUUACUAGAGCAAGAGGCUAAAGGGAACUUUUAUGUGACACAGAAACACUCGGCUAUCUGGGCGUCUUUCAAGAGCUCCUUGCACAAUUACUUUCAAGGAUGGUAGGUUUUUUGCUUUGUUUUGUUUUUUGCUUUUUUUUUCUUAAAGAUUGGCCCUGAGCUAACAUCUGUUGCUAAUGUUUCUUUCUUCGUCUUCUCCCCAAAGUCCCCCAAUACAUAGUUGUUUAUUCUAGUUGUAGGACCUUCUGGCAGUGCUGUAUGGGACGCUGCCUCAGCAUGGCCUGAUGAGCGGAGCUAGGUCCACACCCAGGAUCUGAACCAGCAAAACCCUGGGCUGCAGAAGUGAAGCGCGUGAGCUUAACCACUCCGCCAUGGGCCAGGCCCCUCAAGGACCUGUUUUAAUGAAACAGGACUAGAUAUGACGAUUUCACACACGAUUUCAGACCAGAAAGGAAGACCAAUUCUUUGUUUUGGUUAUCGCUCUGUCUGAACUACUCUGUGAUGCGGAAGAGUGUUUGCAUUUGUUCUGCUGUGGGGAGAGGGAGGGAGCCCUGUCACCUUCGCUGAGCUUGCUCCCUGCAGCGGCAGUCAGGAGGCUGGCCCAGGCCAGGGACAGGAGCUGUGUGACGGAGGGAAGGCAGGUGCUGUGGGUGGGGUGGACAUGAGUGCGAGGCACAGGGCUGGGAUGGCAGGAGUGUUCAGAGGAGGGCACCGAGCGAGGGGCUGGGAUUUAGGGUGUAGGGUGGAUAUGGGCUUAGGGGAGGAUGAGCCUGGCUGGAGUAGCCUGUGAAGUGUCCAGAUGCCACGCUAAGCAGCACUGUGUAGGUGGGGGUUUCUGCCUCUGGAAAGACCCUCAGGCUGCAGUGUAGAGAGUGGCCAGCACAGCUCCGGAGCCAGCGGGGAGGCCAGGGCAGAGGCUGUUAUGUGGGCCUGAGCUGAGACGGGGGCUGCCAGGCUGGAGGACUUGCCAAGGGUGGGGCUUUCCUCUUGGGAGGUAGUCAGCGACACAGGUCAAUGUCCGUGGACCGGGCCAUGUGAUGCAGACACCCCGAAUCUUGUCCACCCUCCCUGGGCUGUUGCCUGCUUCAGUG
rnacentral:lncRNA from 1 species